GCUGGAGGGCAGGACUCCUGGGUUCUAUUCCCAGCUCUGGGAGGGAGCAGAGCCUAAUGGUUAGAGCAGAAGACUGGGAGACAAGACUCCUGAGUUCUUCUAUUCCUGGCUCAGUGCCUGACCUCAGGUGAGUCAACUCGCUCCUUUGUGCCUCAGUUUUCCCACCCAUCAAACAGGGUGUGGCUCAUGCUUCUCUUCCACCUCUGUGAAGCGCUGAGAGACCCUCAAUGCAUAAGAUUCCCCUCAAAAGGCCUGCUCCUGGCCCAGCCUUAGUGGGAUAUGGAGUGCAGCCUCUCGUGGGGGUGGGGAGCGAAGGGAUAUAGAUGUGCAUUCACUGUUCCUUGUGGAGACACCGCUCACACUCCCUGUCCAUCCCCCAGCACCGUGCCUCCAACCAGAUCUACGCGCCCGUCAACGGUUGGCGGGAACCCCCUCCCCUGGAGAUCCUGCAGAAGGGUGGCCGCCUGGCGAAGGAGAGAGGGGGCCCCUACUUGCCCACCAUCUGGGACUGGGCGCUGCGCUACACCACUCAGCAGAGGUCUCAGUUCAGAAAUCCUGCCUAUGCCAGGAGCAGCGGCAGCACCACUGUUCCAAAUGGCAAAUCUGCCCCACUAGGGGGUGAUAAGCUGGAAGCUGCCUUGUCUGGGAGCGGCACCAUGUACCUGUUUGCCAAGGGGGCCCUCUCGCCGCAGACCCACCUCUUCCCCUGGAAGAACGGCUCGCUUUCCAAAAAGGGCUGGUGGAGGGCUCAGUCCUCAGAGAGCCUCAGCGAACAGGACCGGUCCUUGAGGAGCAGUCCCAGCGGCUGCCCCCUGCAGCCUGAGGGUCUGCUACUUCCUGCCUCUGUGGGCCCCCUGAUCCGGCUCUGGAGAAGGUGUUACCUGCGGGGAAGCCAGGAAGUUCAGCGUGGCCUCUUUGCCUCCACGCUCUGUGAACUCGCAGAGGAACUGGACCUGCUUCGAGGGCGACUGACGGGCGAGGGGACCUGCUAGGGUGCCUAACCAUGGCAGCACGCAGAGCCCUUCUCGCCAGCCGCCUGAAGGCGAAACACCCCGAAGACUGGACGGCCUCGUGUCCUUGCUGCGAUGCUGGAGAUGGGAGAGCGUCCCGGGCAGAACUGGAUCUGUCCGCUGGGCCAGUGGACCAAGGGGGGGGGACCUGGGUUUGUAGGAAUGGCUUCCACGGACUUUACGCCCUGCUGUUCCUCCUGAUGCGGGGAGUUGCCCGUCCUUUUGUGGCUUCAGGAAAGGGAACCGGGCAACCCCGUCCCAUCUAAAGGGCCCGCUCCCACUCACGCAGCUCAGGGUGGUGGGUGCCCAGAUAACCCUGGCUCCUCCCAAGUGCUACCUCCUCAAAGUUGGGCCCAGUCCCAGAGCCCCCGCCCGGCCCUGAGUCUGGUUAAGCCCCCGCCCAUGCUGGGUGUUUGGCCAGGGUUCGGUUGAUGGGGGUCUUGACGGGAACCGAACAACUCCAGUGUUCUCCAGCGCUGCUUGGCAAAACCUACAGCAUAGGAUUCUGUUACUGCAGGGUUUGGGGCAGGCACUCCAUGGUACUGGGUCCAACCGCUUUUGCUGCUGCUCAAUCUGAGUUGUAUCUCUCUCCAUUCUCUGAUCUUUCAUGCACCUUCACCCUCCUCACUCCCCCAGGGUGACUUACUCAGCUGAUGAGGCUGGCUCAUUCACGUACCUCCCCCAGAGGGGCGGCAUGUGGGUGGAAGGGCAGGCGAGGGUUAACCUGCCGCUGCUCAGGCCGUACCCAUCCCCUGGGUUAUUGCUGGCCUCCGAUCUCCAGCACUGUCAGUCUGGCACCCGUCCCUGAGCGCAGGGUGGGAAAAAGCGAGCAAGAGAACCCUGUCCUCAGUAGAUUACCGGGAGCCCUCAUGAGCUCCCAUCUCCGGGCAGGGCUACGCUACAGUCUUGCAUCGGCAAUGGUGUUGUAGCGCUGCUGGUGAAGACAUUCUAAGCCUACAGAGAGCUCUACUGUCAGCUGCAGGGCGGGUUAAGGUCGGUAUAACGACGUUGCUCAGGGAUGUGAAAAAUCCACCCCCCUGAGCGACAUGGUUAGAGCAGAGUGUGUAAUGUAGACCUGGCCUCUGAUCCGAAAGCUGCCAUGCAGUGCCAGAGCCGGAUGCACUUGGCGCUGUCCUGCUAGCAAUGUGCUGGGGCGGGUCUUUGAGGCGGUGGGCAUGUCCAGGCGCUAGGUACUUACUGUGCUACCGCCAGAACUGGCUUUCUAAGCCUUGGAGUUCAGGUCUUCACUGGAGAGUCCCCAGAGGGCGGGAUUGUCGGGAUCCGGAGCUUAGGGACUCUGUUGGCUGAACAAUAUACCCAGCUGUGCCUCUGCCAAUCAUCUGGGCAGCAUGUAAGUUGCAGUCGCAUUGGCAGGUGGCUGAUAAUGGCAAUUCUGAUAAUGUGUGGUCCCGGGAGCCUCUGUCCUCCUUUACCACCCUCGAACAAUGGCAAUUCUGCUCUCAGUAGAUUCUCCUACAGUGUGUUUCCAACACACGCUUAGGGGGGUACUGGUGCAGGGGUGGGAGCCUCUCCUAUCUGCCAUCACGGCAGACCUAGGUCAGGCUACCACCUGAUGUCUCUGAGGAAGGGAUUGGUGGCUCUCAGCCCGGUCCCCAUUAAACAAACGUCUGUGUCCCCCAAGCUCCGUCGUCUUUCCUGCUCUGUGGCUCCCAUCUUGAUACAUGCAAUGGAGUGGGAAUGGGCCUUGUUCUCACCUUUCCCAGUGCUCCUUAUACAUGGAACCUCAGCCCUAGAUUAUGGGGCUGGAGUUAGAGGGAGGGCAGUUUGCCUGGGCUGUACCCAGCCUGGAGGCCUUCAGUUUCCAGGGCUAUCCCACUGGCAUCUCUCUCGAGCUUGGUGAGGAGAAAAAGCUGAAGGCCACCCGGCCCAGUCAUGGGCUGCUUGUGGCCUUAAGUCAGAAUUGUCGUUGCUUGUGUGUUUUAAGUCUGAAUUGAAAAGUGGACGCUGCAGAUCGUGGGCCCUGCAUUUCAGGGAACUGUGCUUUCAGUCUGAGCUCCAGCUUUUCAGAUGCCUGACUCACAACCCGGUCACCCACCACUCCUUCCACUUCAUAGCCAGCCUUCUUGGGCUGAGACUUUCAUCUCCGAGGGGGGAAGUGGGAUUUGGAACCCAAUCUCCCUGCUCACCCUGCCGAAUUCACACCCAAUUAGUUAACUUCACCAGCCAUGCUUGGGCAUUAAAAUCAACAGGAGUCUUUCCAUUGGCCCCAAUGGGCAUUGGAUUCAGGCCCUUGUGAGGGGGAUGGAGGAAACCCUUUGAUGAGAGACUUGCUGCAUCUUUCAGGUACCUACAGAUGCAUGACUGCUGUACCCAGAUGGCAUCAUGCUGCUUUGUUAGUGUUUAUGGACACUGGGGUUUGCACAGUUCCUGUAUGCUACUUCUUUUCCGCCCUGAGAUUUGAGUGCCUACUUUGUAUAUCUGUCUAACAGCAAUGAGGAAUAACAAAGAUUAUUUUUAUUGGCAUUUGUAAUAUCUCUUGGGGUGAUAUUAGAGAUAUGUGUUGUUGAGAAAUUUAUAUUUUAUAUUAAAAAGUCUGGUUCUAACAGUAGUAACUCACAGGAAAUGGGUUAUUGUAUAAGCUAAAGUGUUAGACAAAACUGGAUGAUACACUUUUAUAUAUGUGUGUGUUUUUUCUCACACCCACACACAGAGGGAUUGGAAGCUGCCAAGUUCCAGGGUAGGGCUACCCUGAAAUCCAAGUAUUGCAGCAUGGGUAGACAUGCUGGCAUGGCUAAGAGUAGCAGUGUAGAUGUGGUGGCAUGUGUCAGCGUGGACUGUAUGGGGACCCUGGGUAUGUGGGCUAGCAAUGCAUCUACUUGGCAAUUUUGAGCCAUACUUGUGCAGAUAAAGCUAGUGCAGGUACGUCUUCCCAUGCACUAAUCACACCUAGGAUUGCAGGAUAGACCUACCCAUGCUGCUACGUCUUCCCAUGCACUAAUCACACCUAGGAUUGCAGGAUAGACCUACCCAUGCUGCAUGUGUUACAGCAGAACAUCUAAUCCAGCUGUGAUCUUAGCUUACGAAAUUGGUACUGUUCCCUGCGAAACUGUGGAAUUGUUGGUGUAAGAAUCCUAGAACUUUAGGACUUUCAGGCCCUGGGAAAUAACCAGGACUGUCAUCUGAUGAGUAUGAACAAAGUACCCCCCCCCCCGAACAGCCUCAUUUCUUUUUACGUGCAAGGUUUCAAGACCAGGAGCCUCUGGACUUUCCUUGGAAGAGUCCUUUUCUUGCUGGUUACUCCUUUAUAAUAACCUGGGGGGGGGGUUGUUUUUGUUUUUUAGUUGUGUGUUUUAAAUCUUAGUGCUAAUAGCACAUAUACAUAGAAGUAUUUUGGAGACCAGAACAUUAGGGUAACUGGGUGCAGAUCACACAUUCCCGGUGGUAUGAGGCAUGAGUUAAGUGGAAAUCCAAACAAGGGCAUUUUUUUUUCUAUUCUGUAUAUUUUUGUAGUGACAUUUCUAUUUAAGAGCUCAUUAAAGUGCCG
ensembl:lncRNA